ensembl:lncRNA
AUGCCCUGUGGGCACCUUUUUGGGCCCCACGAAGGCCUCCCUCAGGUGUGGUCAAUGCCAGAGGGGUACUGCCCCUCAGGGCCCCGGAGCCCACCCGCUCCCGCCACCGCAGCACGGGCCCACACUCCCCGAACACCAGUGUCCCUCCUCCCCCCCGCCCCCACCCCAGCUGGACGCGCGGACCCGGGUCUUACCUGCGAGCUGCGCUCGGAGCCCGGCCCCGUAGCCGGCGCGGUCCCGGGGGCCUCCCGCGCGGGGCUACCCGAGCGCUCGGCUCUGCCGGCCGCCUCCUCCUCCCCGUUGUCCCCGGCCGGGCCCCCCGCCGCCCGGAGGCUCCGGUUCCCUCCGCAGCAGCCGGCCGGGCGGCACCGGGGUGCACGCGGCGGGGCUCGGCUUCGGCGCCCCCUCCCCCUGCUGCCCGCCGCCGACUUGGCGCUCGCGGGCUCGGGGUCCGGGAUUCCGGGACGCGGGGGUCGUCGGGGUGCUCGGCUGCCCCGCGCUCCCUCCCGCGCGCAGCCCCUCUCCGGGGGGAGGGGGGGCGCCUGGCUCGCGGCGCGCGGGCGUCACGGGCUCGGGGCGCGCGGGGACGGCGGCGGGGUGGGCCCCGGGGCGGCGGGCGGGGGCGCUGCUGCGGACGCGGGCACUGAUGCGGGCGCCGCGGCGCGGCCUCUCGCCAUGGCUCCCGAGCGGGCGGGCGGGCGGUUCGCACCUCCCCUCCGCGCUGCCGUCACCGCCGGACGCGCGCCGAGCCCUCCCCUUCCACCGCCCCGCCCGCCGGCCCGCGCCGCCACCUGCGGGCCGCCCUCCAGGAUGCUCGCCCGGGGGAUCGCGCUCCGGCUGCCGCCAGCCGCGCCCCUUUGCCCUGCGGCCGCGGCCCUAGGCCUGCCCUGCGCCUUGCCCUUUGCGGCUGGGCUCGGAGAGGGUCAAUCUAAGGGGAGCACGGGACUCGCGCGUGCAGUUUGCCACCAAAGCAAUGGAAGUCCAGGCGUGGCGUUCCUGCAGGUCGGGCAGUCUCCUAGGGAAGCAACCCUGAGGCUUCAACAGGGAGAGGGCAGAGCCAGGGGACAGGGGCACGGGAGUUGUUGAUGGCAGUCUGAACAAAAUGCCACCGAAGCAGGGGGGCGGCGGGGGUGGCGGGCGGAAUCCGAAAAGGAUACAGGAAGUGUUCACAAGCCACUGUACUAUGCAAAUCGCUGGUGGACAGUUUAACGCGGAACAACCCACAUUAGCUCAUUUCCAGUUGAGACCGCUGAGUCUACUAAUUCGGCCCACUCUUUGCCCAAAGGUCGUAGAGGACAUUGGGAAGACACGGAGAGGAUUCUGACCAGAACCAAAGACGCAAGGAAGCUGAAGCAUAGAAAACCUGGUUUCAAAUACUCGUAGAGGAUUUGAAGGGUGCGGUAAAGACUGGUUCAGGCAAGAAUCAUCAAUGGAUGCUAAGGGUAGAGCGGAUUUUACUGGGGAACAGAUAUUUCCUUGGCUUAACAUGUCUCUCCAUAUAGAUGGUUGAGGCUUAUAACAGCACGCGGGAACUAUUUACAAAGGAGCAGGUGGACAACAUCUUCCUUCACCAGGUGGUCAAAAUUAACAUCACCAAUGAGAGCAGACGGAGAUCAUGUCCUCAGAACACAUCACCUGUGCGGUAUUCCAGGGAGAACCAACAACCUGAAUCUGAUGAUGACACCUUAGACCAACCCCAAAUGAGGAACAUCUAUUAAAAAGGGGCAGGUAGGGGCUGUAUUCUUCAAACAUGUCAACAUCGUAAAAGACAAAAGAAGGCUUGGAAAUGUUCCAGAUUUAAGGUUGCUAAAAAGUCAUGACAGCUUAAUGUGAUCCUUAAUAUAAUGUGUAAGGAAAGGAAACGCUAUAAAGGAUAUUUCAAUGGACAAAGUUGGAAUCCUGAUAGAUUAAAGUAUUGGAUCAAUGUUAAAUUUGCUGCUGUUGAUAAUUUGUCCUAUGGUCCUGCAGAAGAAUAUCCCUCUUCUUAGAAAUACACACUGAGGGGGCACCUGGGUGGCUCAGUCGGGUGGGCCUCUGACUUCGGCUCAGGUCAUGAUUCCGUGGUUUACCGGUUCGAGCCCCGCGUCUGGCUCUGUGCUGACAGCUCAGAGCCUGGAUCCGCUUUGGAUUCUGUGUCUCCUUCUCUCUCUGCCCCCCUCCCAUGCUCACACUCUGUCUCUCUCUCCUUCAAAAAUAAAUAAACAUCAAAAAAAAUUAAAAGAAAUACA